GACGAACGCUGGCGGCGUGCUUAACACAUGCAAGUCGAACGGAAAGGCCAUGCUUUUGUGGCGUGGUCGAGUGGCGAACGGGUGAGUAACACGUGUGUAUCCUGCCCUUGACUUUGUGAUAACUUCAGGAGACAGGGGCGCAUACCGGGGAGGAUAUACUGCUGCAUGGGGGUGGUUGGAAAGUUUCGGCGGUGGGGGAUGGACUCGCGGCUUAUGAGCUUGUUGGGAAGGUAGUUGCUUACCAAGGUUAGGAGGGGUACCCGACGUGGGAGGGUGAUCGGCCACAUGGGAACUGAGACAGGGUCCAGAGGCCUACGGGAGGCAGCAGUAGGGAAUGUUCCGCAAUGGGGGAAAGCAUGACGGAGCAACGCCGAGUGAGUGAUGAAGGUGUUCGGAUCGUAAAACUCUGUUAUUAGGGAAGAACAAAUGUGUAAGUAACUAUGCACGUCUUGACGGUACCGAAUCAGAAAGCCACGGCUAACUACGUG
rnacentral:rRNA from 1 species